rnacentral:lncRNA from 1 species
UUUUGUAAUCCUAUUUAUGUAUUCGGACAAUAUGUGAUGAAAAUUUAAUGUUUCCUGAUUCAGUUGUGUACACUCUUAUCGAUAUUCUAGAUAAAUCGAUGUGGGGUGUUAUAAUUAUAUUUAAAAUCACCUCAAAAUUGUAAUGAAGUAUAUAUAAUAUGGGCGAAGUCUAACAUGCACAAACUUUAUAAGUCUUUCAUGGUGGACAAGCAUUUGCAACCGUCA